GUCUGCAAAAGUGUCGUAAGUCCAAAACACUGCUUUUUAAGAAAAUAAAAAAAUAGUUUCACCUUUCCAUAGCAAAACCGUUGUCCUACACUUUGACAAUUUUUGAUAUCUUAGCACCUGAAGUAGCUGGAGAUACGACAGUUUAACCCCAAAAGAACCAGCUAUUGCAAGCAAAAAUGAAUAUUGAAAAAAUGUGCAUUAGGC